rnacentral:tRNA from 1 species
GCGCCCAUAGUCUAAUGGAUAGAAUACCGGCCUCCGGAGCCGGUGGUCCAGGUUCGAAUCCUGGUGGGCGUGCCA